UACAGAGGUCCCAAGCGUUGUUCGGAUUUACUGGGCGUAAAUGGUGCGUAGGUGGUCGGGUAAGUCUCAUGUGAAAUCCCGCAGCUUAACUGCGGAACGGCAUGGGAUACUAUUCGGCUCGAGGAUUGGAGGGGGGACUGGAAUUCCCGGUGUAGCAGUGAAAUGCGUAGAUAUCGGGAGGAACACCAGUGGCGAAGGCGAGUCCCUGGACAAUUCCUGACGCUGAGGCACGAAAGCCAGGGGAGCAAACAGG
rnacentral:rRNA from 1 species